CACGGGGGUUGCGAGCGUUGUCCGGAAUUACUAGGCGUAAAGGGCAGGCAGGCGGAUCCAUAAGUUUAUCGUUUAAGGCGUCGGCUUAACCGGCGUAGGGCGGUGGAUACUUUGGAUCUGGAAUGCGGUUGGGGAAGGACAGAAUUCCUGGUGUAGCGGUGGAAUGCGCAGAGAUCAGGAGGAAUACCGAAGGCGAAGGCAGUCUUCCAAGCCGUUAUUGACGCUCAACUGCGAAGGUGUGGGUAUCAAACAGGAUUAGAUACCCUGGUAGUCCCUGAG
rnacentral:rRNA from 1 species